GGAAGGAUCAUUACAGAAUAAACUUGAUGGGUUGUAGCUGGCUCUCUUGGGAGCAUGUGCACGCCUGUCACCUUUAUCUUUCCACCUGUGCACCCUUUGUAGACUUGGAAUUUCAAACUAUCUGGAGGUUUUCAAAAGCCUUCAGUUUGAGGGAUUGCUGUGCCCCCAACGGUCAGCUUCUCUUGUGGUUCCAAGCCUAUGUUUUUCAUACACCCUUAGUAUGUCUUAGAAUGUAUUCAAAGGCCUCAGUGCCUAUAAACUUUAUACAACUUUCAGCAACGGAUCUCUUGGCUCUCGCAUCGAUGAAGAACGCAGCGAAAUGCGAUAAGUAAUGUGAAUUGCAGAAUUCAGUGAAUCAUCGAAUCUUUGAACGCACCUUGCGCUCCUUGGUAUUCCGAGGAGCAUGCCUGUUUGAGUGUCAUUAAAUUCUCAACCUUAUCAUCUUUGAUGGCAAGGCUUGGACUUGGGGGUUUUGCGGGCUUCAACCUUUUUGAAGUCGGCUCCCCUUAAAUGAAUUAGCCGGAAAACCCUUGUGGACCCCGUCUAUUGGUGUGAUAAUUAUCUACGCCGCAGCAUGGGACCGCACUUUGUAAUGGGAUUUCUGCUUCCAACCGUCCUUUAGGGACAAUUAUAUGACUAUUUGACCUCAAAUCAGGUAGGACUACCCGCUGAACUUAAGCAUAUCAAUAAGCGGAGGAAAAGAAACUAACAAGGAUUCCCCUAGUAACUGCGAGUGAAGCGGGAAAAGCUCAAAUUUAAAAUCUGGCGGUCUUUGGCUGUCCGAGUUGUAAUCUAGAGAAGUGUUAUCCGUGCUGGACCGUGUACAAGUCUUCUGGAAUGGAGCGUCAUAGAGGGUGAGAAUCCCGUCUUUGACACGGACUACCAGCGCUUUGUGAUGCGCUCUCAAAGAGUCGAGUUGUUUGGGAAUGCAGCUCAAAAUGGGUGGUAAAUUCCAUCUAAAGCUAAAUAUUGGCGAGAGACCGAUAGCGAACA
rnacentral:rRNA from 1 species